CGCACUGCACUAUCCGGACGACUCCCCCGUGACAGUAUGCCCCGUUGAGCGUCAUUUAUACCUUCGCACUUGGUAUGUUCAUUCAUAUCUUGGACGAGUUUGAGGUUCCCAUUCACUUGAUGAAUGCGUCCUUCGAGAUUCAUUAGCCAACCGCAUCUGCUGGUGCCCAUCCUGUGAUGACUUUGCAGGUGGGACUAAUCGGCAACCUUGGUGCAUGGCUUAUAGUCGCCGCAAGGCAGACUGACCUCUGUGUCAACACCUCGUACAUGACCUCAGUGGGGUAGGAUUACCCGCUAGACUUAAGCAUAUUAAUCAGCGGAGGAAAAGAAACUAACAAGGAUUCCCCUAGUAACUGCGAGUGAAGAGGGAACAGC
rnacentral:misc_RNA from 1 species